rnacentral:tRNA from 2 species
GGCGGAGUAGAGCAGUUUGGCAGCUCACAAGGCUCAUAACCUUGGGGUCACGGGUUCAAAUCCCGUCUCCGCAU